CAAUGAUAUUGUUGAUAGAUAUCAUAAUAUUUUUCACUAUCAGACAGAAUAGAACCUGUGGGAUCACAUGCAAGAAGCUGUAUCUAAUCAAAUAGUUGGAUUUAAUUUGAUAUGUCAAAGAGUUGACAUGAUCAAACCCAAAGGUAAUUGGACUCCUUAUAAGAUAAAAAUUUUGAUUUGAUCAAAGUCCAAGACCCUUGGGACUCUAUCCGUUAAAAUGUGAUUGACGAGUAGAAGGACUCUUCUCCCCAUG
rnacentral:lncRNA from 1 species